UCCAUACUGGCUGCUCACUCACAUCCACAAAGUCCACAAAGUCUGACGGGACCCGUCUGUGAAAAAUGCUCGACUCAAACGAGGCCGUGCCAGCAUCAUGCCAGGUUAUCAAGCUGGAUUUUGACAAAUGUGUCAGAGAGAAGGGAGUGCAGGACUGCAAAGACCUGAUAGAUGCCUUCCAUGUCUGUGUGAAAACCCUGUCUGAGGAAUCCUAGCACAUGAUGAAGUACAUCUAAAUGAAAGUGUGAGCUGCAGCUGAACGUGGGGAAUACAAAAGACAAGACCUGGAGGAACAGGGGGACAGACUGAGCCUGGUGCUGUCAGCGCGAGGGAAGGAGACGUUCAGGACCAAACGAAAACUCCUCAUUCUGGCCUCAAAACCCACAACUGCAACUGAGAAACGUUGUCUGACCCUUCCUUCCAUUUUGAUAACACUUAACAUUACAGUACAGUAACAAUAUGGUAUAGUAAUCAAACUAUGAUUUAAACUUCAAGCACACAGUCCAUUCUAUUUGAUGUCCUGUUAUUAUGUUGUCUUCAGGACAAACACGUGGCAAGAGGUCGGUGAAUAUAACCAAGCAUUAGUGAAAAUCACUUCUAAACACUAGAAACUAAGCGCUAGAGUCCCACGAGACAAGAACUUGUGAAUGUCAUGUAGUGCAGCCUGGGAAAUGAUUAUAUGAUGGGCCAUGAUAAUAAAUUGUAAAGAUAAAUUAAACUGAGCACUGGCAUCUAGUGGGAAGUGCCGGUACUCAAAAUAGUACAAUUAAUAGUGGCUGUGAAUCAAUUAUACAUACAUAUUAACAAGAAUAUACAGUAUAUCAACAGUGAAUUGGAAUAAGUGAACUGGAUUUCACUUACAAUAUGUUUGCAUAUGCUAAUUGAAUGGAAUUAAUAUGUAGUAAUAUGUAGGUAAUACAUCUUAUUUCCAUGGGAAUCACCACAUAAUAACCCAUCCAAAUCAAACCGUUAUUAAGUCAAAUUUCACUGAGGAAUCGCACAUAAAAAGUACUCCCUCAUCCACUGAAUGGUCAUAUUUAUCAACAUAAAAUCUGAGAUUCUAAACCAAAAUAAUGUGGUGAAGAAGACCACAAAAAUUCAGUUGCAACUUAAAAAUUAGUCCCUAAAAUACUACUCAAAUAGUUCUUAAAAUUCUACGUCAGGUUUUUUUACUUAUCAAAAAAAAACGUCAGUUGAUGAAAAGAAAUACUCGUUGAAUCAUAGUUCCCAGAAUCCACCAUGCACAAAUACUAUUUAAAACAAUAAUACUAUGCUAUACACGUGAAGAUAUUGCACAGUCAAAAGUAACACGGUAUUACUGCAAUACUUCAAUACUGCAUUAUUUUAUUUUUAUUUACAUUACUUUUUUGGGGGGAUAAUAAUAACCAUACAAUCACUAUACCUUGUUACUGUGUUGUAAUAUAACAUUUUUGAUUCCCAUGUUUGCUUUCAUCUUAAUUAAAGGUCUAGUGUGUAAAAUGUGA